rnacentral:lncRNA from 1 species
UGGUAGCAAGUAACCAGGCCACACAAGCUGAGUUGCCCUGUAACCAGAGAGACGAUAGGUGUCAUAGUCACUGUCCAUUGUGAAUCCAACUACCCUGGCAUGCAAGGCCAAACCGAAUUUAGGUUUCGCAUUGCUAAUUUUUCAGCAUGGCCUCUCUUGUUUCUUGUAGUGAUAGAUCUUGUAAGAGCUAUAGCACAGUGGCUUUCUGUUUCUGGCACUCCUGAUCCUUCGCAAGCCUAUGCUUUAAGGAGGACUUUAUCGCUGACUUAAUUAGUUAUUGUUUACUUUUCUGACUAU